GAUGAAGAACGUAGCGAAAUGCGAUAAGUAAUGUGAAUUGCAGAAUUCAGUGAAUCAUCGAAUCUUUGAACGCACAUUGCGCCCCUUGGUAUUCCGGGGGGCAUGCCUGUUCGAGCGUCAUUAUCACCCCUCAAGCUCAGCUUGGUGUUGGGGCCUGCUGCACUGGCAGCCCUUAAAAUCAGUGGCGGCGCCAUCUGGCUCUAAGCGUAGUAAUUCUUCUCGCUAUGGAGUCCUGGUGGAUGCUUGCCAUCAACCCCCAAUUUUUCUAUGGUUGACCUCGGAUCAGGUAGGGAUACCCGCUGAACUUAAGCAUAUCAAUAAGCGGAGGA
rnacentral:misc_RNA from 1 species